rnacentral:rRNA from 1 species
AACGAACGCUGGCGGCAGGCCUAACACAUGCAAGUCGAGCGCCCCUUCGGGGAGCGGCGGACGGGUGAGUAACGCGUGGGAACGUACCCUUUGCUACGGAAUAGCCUCGGGAAACUGGGAGUAAUACCGUAUGUGCCCUUCGGGGGAAAGAUUUAUCGGCAAAGGAUCGGCCCGCGUUGGAUUAGGUAGUUGGUGGGGUAAUGGCCUACCAAGCCGACGAUCCAUAGCUGGUUUGANAGGAUGAUCAGCCACACUGGGACUGAGACACGGCCCAGACUCCUACGGGAGGCAGCAGUGGGGAAUCUUAGACAAUGGGCGCAAGCCUGAUCUAGCCAUGCCGCGUGAGCGAUGAAGGCCUUAGGGUUGUAAAGCUCUUUCAGGGGGAAGGAUAAUGACUGUACCCCCACGAAGAAGCCCCGGCUAACUCCGUG